UACGUAGGGGGCUAGCGUUGUUCCGGAAUCAUUGGGCGUAAAGCGCGUGUAGGCGGCUGGGCAAGUCCGCUCUGAAGCCGAGGCUCAACCUCGGAGGCGAGUGGAUACUGCUCAGCUGAGUCCGGAAGAGGAGUGUGGAAUUCCGUGGUAUAGCGGUGAAAUGCGCAGAUAAUCAGGAGGAACACCAAUUGCGAAGGCAGCACUCUGGGACGUGACUGACGCUGAGACGCGAAAGCGUGGGGAGCAAACAGG
rnacentral:rRNA from 1 species